UUUUUCUCUUUUCUUCUUCGUCUCCCCGACAGUACACCGUUUCGUGUUCAUCUUCUCGACUUCGUCUUCUCUCCGACCAGACCUUCUCCAUUCUUCGACUUCAUCUUCGGCUUCAUCUUCUCCCUAAUUUCGUCGUAGAACUCCAUUUCCCAUCUUCGGCUUAGGCUACAUCUUCGUUCUCUGACUAAGAACUUCUAUUCGGCUCUCCGUUCCUCUUUCAUCUUCGUUCUCCGGUUAAGGGAAGAUCAAAAUACCAACUGAUUGGGAUGUGAGCGCAACAUAGGUUCAAUUUUGGCUUGGUUCUUAGAGAAGUUAAGUUGAUGCUAUUGCUUUGUCCCAUGAUUUUUUUGUUCAAUUUCGGUUCAUUUCAGUGGAGGCUUCUUGUUUGAGGUGAAAAUUUAUCUAUUUCUUUUGCAGUUUAGCUUACUUUUUUCGUUGUUCUUAUCUUCAUGCAUUCAAUAGAGUUAUCUGGCGAGUGGUGAGUAUUUAAUUAGUUUAGUUGAACUGGAUUGUGGUUUUUGUUUAGGAUAUGUUUUAUUUUGUUGUUUGAGCUUAGAAGCGUGAACAGGAUGGGCUUUGAUGAUUGGUCAUUUGGAUUACAUCUUGUAAACUCUCUCAUAUCAUUUCUCAGUUGUAGUAGAGAAAUGAUUUGAUGAUUUCUAUGGAAACUCGAAAGCGUUGUAAAAGGGUGCUUGUAGUUUUGAACUUAAUUGAAGUAUGGAUGUUCUUGGCCUUCAA